rnacentral:rRNA from 1 species
CAAGAGAAAAGCUGUCUUUAUAUUAAAGUUUGAAUUUAACUUUUAAGUGAAAAGGCUUAAAUAUUCUAAAGGGACGAUAAGACCCUAUAAAACUUUACAUUAAUUGUUAAUAUUUUAUUUAAUUUUGUUUAUUACGAUUUAAAUUUAAUUUUUUGUUAUGUUGGGGAGACAAAAGCUAUAAUUUAUAUUAACUGCUUGAAGAAAAAUCAAUAAAAUUUAGUGACUUAUAUUUAUAGAUCCUUUAUAAAGAUUGAAAGAUUAAGUUACUUUAGGGAUAACAGCGUUAUUUUUUUUGAGAGUCCAUAU